rnacentral:rRNA from 1 species
UACGGGGGGGGCAAGCGUUGUUCGGAAUUACUGGGCGUAAAGGGCGCGUAGGCGGCCUGCUAAGUCGAACGUGAAAUCCCUGGGCUCAACCCAGGAACUGCGUCCGAUACUGGUUGGCUUGAAUCCGGGAGAGGGAUGUGGAAUUCCAGGUGUAGCGGUGAAAUGCGUAGAUAUCUGGAGGAACACCGGUGGCGAAGGCGGCAUCCUGGACCGACACUGACGCUGAGGCGCGAAAGCUAGGGGAGCAAACGGGG